UACGUAGGGGGCUAGCGUUGUCCGGAUUUAUUGGGCGUAAAGAGCGUGUAGGCGGUCCUGUAAGUCCGCUGUGAAAGUCAAGGGCUCAACCCUUGAAUGCCGGUGGAUACUGCAGGACUAGAGUCCGGAAGAGGCGAGUGGAAUUCCUGGUGUAGCGGUGAAAUGCGCAGAUAUCAGGAGGAACACCGAUGGCGAAGGCAGCUCGCUGGGACGGUACUGACGCUGAGACGCGAAAGCGUGGGGAGCAAACAGG
rnacentral:rRNA from 1 species